rnacentral:rRNA from 1 species
AACGAACGCUGGCGGCAUGCUUAACACAUGCAAGUCGAACGGGACCUUCGGGCUUUGUGGCGCUGCGCUGCGUAACGCCUGGUAACUUGCACUUAGGUUCGGUGCACUUCACUGUAGGGUAUCUUCAUGCAACUUAAUGUAUUAGGACCUAAGAUUUCCUGCCUUUGGAUGGGGGUGGGUUGGUUUCGCUAGUUGGUAGGGUAAAAGCCUACCAAGGCGAUGAUCCAUAGCUGGUGUGUGAGGAUGAUUAGCCAGACUGGGACUGAGGCACGGCCCAGACUCCGACGGGAGGCAGCAGUAGAUAAUAUUGGACGAGGAACGAAAGCCUGAUCCAGCAAUGCCGCGUGAGAGAGGAAGGCCUUAGGGUUGUAAAUCUCUUUUUCCCGGGAUGAUAAUGACAGUACCGGGAGAAUAAGCUCCGGCUAACUCCGUG